GCCAGACUCCUACGGGAGGCAGCAGUGAGGAAUAUUGGUCAAUGGCCGCAGGGCUGAACCAGCCAAGUCGCGUGAGGGAUGACGGUCCUAUGGAUUGUAAACCUCUUUUGUCAGGGAGCAAAGGGCGCCACGUGUGGCGUUUUGCGAGUACCUGAAGAAAAAGCAUCGGCUAACUCCGUGCCAGCAGCCGCGGUAAUACGUAGGUGGCAAGCGUUGUCCGGAAUUACUGGGUGUAAAGGGAGCGCAGGCGGGAAGCCAAGUCAGCUGUGAAAACUACGGGCUUAACUUAGACUGCAGUUGAAACUGGUUUUCUUGAGUGAAGUAGAGGUUGGCGGAAUUCCGAGUGUAGCGGUGAAAUGCGUAGAUAUUCGGAGGAACACCGGUGGCGAAGGCGGCCAACUGGGCUCUAACUGACGCUGAGGCUCGAAAGUGUGGGGAGCAAACAGGAUUAGAUACCCUAGUA
rnacentral:rRNA from 1 species